UACGAAGGGGACUAGCGUUGUUCGGAAUUACUGGGCGUAAAGCGCACGUAGGCGGAUUUGUAAGUCAGGGGUGAAAUCCCGGGCUCAACCUCGGAACUGCCUUUGAUACUGCAAUCUCGAGUCCGAUAGAGGUGGGUGGAAUUCCUAGUGUAGGAGGUGAAAUUCGUAGAUAUUAGGAAGAACACCGGUGGCGAAGGCGGCCCACUGGAUCGGUACUGACGCUGAGGUGC
rnacentral:rRNA from 1 species